rnacentral:tRNA from 1 species
GGUCUAGUAGCACAAUUGGUUAGUGCAUUCGGCUGUUAACCGAAAGGUUGUAGGUUCGAGCCCUGCCUAGUUCG